GCUUCUGUAGCUCAGAUCAGAGCAUCGGUUUUGUAAGCCGAAUGUCGGAAGUUAAAAUCUUCCCGGGCGCA
rnacentral:tRNA from 2 species